rnacentral:rRNA from 1 species
GAUCUGCCCUGGGUAAGUCGGGGCCUAAGGAGAGGCAGAAAUGCGUAUCCGAUGGACAGCAGGGUGAGAUUCCUGCACUAUCUUAAAACAGAACUGUGGGGACAUUUGUGGAGAGCACAGGCGCGGAACGGAAAGCCGCGUGCAAGCGAAGGAGGAGUCACAUAGGAAAAACCGUGUGGCAAUCCAAAGGCGUGAUGCGGACCGAAUUAAAGUAGGGAAGUGUGUGAGCCAUGAAUCAAGAAAAGCCGCUAUUGUUUUUAAGAUACCCGUACCGUAAACCGACACAGGUGGAUGAGGAGAGAAUCCUAAGGCCGGCGGAAGAAGCAUUGUUAAGGAACUCGGCAAAAUGACCCCGUAACUUCGGGAGAAGGGGUGCCAACGAGAGUUGGCCGCAGAGAAUAGGCUCAAGCAACUGUUUAGCAAAAACACAGGUCUAUGCAAAACCGUAAGGUGAGGUAUAUGGGCUGACGCCUGCCCGGUGCUGGAAGGUUAAGAGGAGAGGUUAGCGCAAGCGAAGCUUUGAAUUUAAGCCCCAGUAAACGGCGGCCGUAACGAUAACGGUCCUAAGGUAGCGAAAUUCCUUGUCGGGUAAGUUCCGACCCGCACAAAAGGCGUAAUGAUUUGAGCGCUGUCUCGACAAUGCAUCCGGUGAAAUUGAAGUACCAGUGAAGAUGCUGGUUACCCGCGCCAGGACGGAAAGACCCCAUGGAGCUUUACUCCAGUUUGGUACUGGGGUCCGGCAGUGCAUGUACAGGAUAGGUGGGAGGCUGUGAACCUGGAACGCCAGUUUCAGGGGAGCCAUUGUUGGGAUACCACCCUUGUGCUGCUGGGCUUCUAACCAGCGGCCUUUAUCAGGCCGGGGGACAAUGCCAGACGGGGAGUUUGACUGGGGCGGUCGCCUCCGAAAGGGUAUCGGAGGCGCUCAAAGGUUCCCUCAGAAUGGUCGGAAACCAUUCGAAGAGUGCAAAGGCAGAAGGGAGCUUGACUGCGACACCGACGGGUGGAGCAGGUACGAAAGUAGGACUUAGUGAUCCGGUGGUAUUAAGUGGGAAUGCCAUCGCUCAACGGAUAAAAGCUACCCUGGAUAACAGGCUUAUCACUCCCAAGAGUUCACAUCGACGGAGUGGUUUGGCACCUCGAUGUCGGCUCAUCGCAUCCUGGGGCUGUAGUAGGUCCCAAGGGUUGGGCUGUUCGCCCAUUAAAGCGGUACGCGAGCUGGGUUCAGAACGUCGUGAGACAGUUCGGUCCCUAUCCGGCGUGGGCGUAGGAUAUUUGAGAGGAGCUGUCCUUAGUACGAGAGGACCGGGAUGGACUGACCUCUGGUGUACCGGUUGAACCGCCAGGUUCACGGCCGGGUAGCCAAGUCGGGAAGGGAUAAACGCUGAAGGCAUCUAAGCGUGAAGCCCCCCUCAAGAUGAGAUAUCCCAUUCGAAAGAAGUAAGACCCCUUGAAGACGACGAGGUAGAUAGGGCAGAGGUGGAAGUGCCGUAAGGCAUGGAGCUGACUGUUACUAAUCGGUCGAGGGCUUGGC